rnacentral:tRNA from 1 species
GCCCUGGUAGUUCAAUGGAUAGAACAGCGCACUCCUAACGCGCCGAUCUAAGUUCGAUUCUUAGUCAGGGCA